GAUGUAGACCAGGACUGUGUUGGUGUUAGCUGCACUGUGGUUGCUGCUGCAUUCUCAGUGGGCAGAAGAAUGGAUGCCACAGUGCUUCUUCCAGAGUGAUCCGUCUGCUGACAUCAUACUCCAGCAUACAGACUAAGCCCAGCUGAAAAGAACUAUGAUGUGGGAGAUCGAAAGCUUUUGGCGAUUUAACUGGCCUUAGAAGAAUGGCGUCACUGGCUGGAAGGCGCGGAACACCCAGUAGUGACUCGGAUCAAAGAACUUAAAACCAGAUGCCCUCUCUCGACAAUUUUCCUCUGUUGAUUCAGAAAGAGAGCCCGCUCCUAUCUUACCCCCUAGUUGCACAGUAGGAGCUCUCACAUGGGAGGUUGAGGAUUUGGUGUCUCGAGCCCUAGAGAAUGAACCUGACCCUGGAACUGGACCCCCGAACCGAACCUACGUUCCCUCCGCUGUAAGAUUGCGCCUGAUUCACUGGUUCCACUCAGCAAGAUUCUCCGCUCACCCUGGUCCCAACUGAACCAUUGCUCUCAUCUCCAGAAGAUAUUGGUGGCCUUCAUUACAUAGGGAUGUACGAGAGUAUGUACAAGCCUGCACGAUCUGUGCAAGAAACAAAUCUACUAACCAGCCUCCAGCCGGCCUGCUACAGCCCCUUAGCAUCCCCAAACGUCCCUGGUCACACAUCACUCUCGACUUCGUCACUGCACUGCCUAACUCUAGGAAUGACCACCAUACUCACCAUCAUUGAUCGUUUCUCCAAGACCCGUCACCUUAUCCCCCUCAGAAGACAGCAUUAAGUUCUCCAGACUGCUCAACUUAUGGUCAAACAUGUGUUCCGACUACAUGGGAUACCACAGGAGAUCCUCUCCAAUCGGGGGCCACAAUUCACCGCACAGGUUUGGCGACAAUUCUGUUCUGCCUUAGGGGCUAAGGUUUCUCUAACCUCUGGAUAUCAUCCACAGUCUAAUGGUCAAACUGAAAGAAUGAACCAAGAGCUUGAAUCAGCUUUGAGAUGUCUCGUCUCAACCAACCCCACUGAUUUGAGCCAGUUUCUUCCCUGGAUUGAGUAUGCCCAUAGCACACAUCUGCAGCCACUGGAGUUUCCCUGUUCGAGGCUUCCUUAGGCUAUCAACCCCCUGUGUUUUCAGCAGACGAACAGGAAAUAUCUGUCACCUCCAUUUGCCACCACAUCCGUAGAUGCCGACACAUUUGGGACGCUACCAGACAAGCCCUCUAACGCACUGCCACUCAAAAUAAGAGGUUCGCAGACAGAAGGUGUAUCCUGGCUCCUCAGUAAUAGCCUGAACAAAAGGUUUGGGUCUCUUCAUGAGAUAUUCCCUUAAAAUCCGUCUCCAGGAAGCUCGCUCCCAGAUUUGUUGGCCCCUACAAGAUUCAGAGAGUGAUCAGUUCUACAGCUAUUCAGUAUAAGCUGCCAUCUAAUCUCUGCAUCCACCCCACGUUCAACGUUUCCCAGAUCAAACCUUAUAUCACGAGUGCUUCGUGGCUCAUCCUGGCUCAUCCUCCUCAAGAUGAUUAUCUUCGCAUGUCACUUCCAGUUGGCUGUCGCUGGUUAAUAGCUCCCUUGGCUCUCCUAUGAACGAACCUUGCUCACCGUCCAAUGUGCUCCCCUCCAAGAACAUCUACCAGGUGCCAAAAACCAUCACCAAUCAAAGAAAGACAACUUACCCGGAUCAAACUCAGACCCAUCAAGGCAGACCUACAAUAAGAAAAAGAAAAUGGUUAGUUCCAUCCGCGAAAAUAUAAGAUCACAUACUUCCAGACUAGACCCUAUCUCCUGCCUAGAACUCCUGAACCCAGCUGUGACUCCCCCCCGGACCAUCAUCUCCUACCUUCCCGUAAGCAGAAGAAUAAUUUAUUAUCUUCUGAAAUAUUCACAUUCCGGAACAAUCAACUCACCGUUACUCCCCUCCUUCCACACAGUGGCUAGUUCCUGGUUCCUGCAGUUUUCUGGUUCUACGUUUCACAUUCUUUCAAUAAACUUGUUAAAUUUUC